AUGAGGGUAGCAGGGCAAACUGGUGAAAUGUGCCGAGGUCUCUCCAGAGGUGGUAGGGGUUUGCGCCAGCUUGUCAUCCUGGACAGGCAGCAAUGUAAUCCAUUUCCCUAUCAUACUGCUGUAACGGGUCUCAUGUGUCUCAGUUCAAACAGACACUGCCAUCUAUCUUCAAGCUGCAAUGAAGCUGAGAACCACAGAAAACACUUGUACCGUGGUUUCAGGGAGGAGCCUCUUCCCUCAGCACAAAACAGACAGCUCUGCUGGUCAUCUGUUCUCCACUGCCAGGACGCUGCCACUCAGUGUGGAGACAGGAAGGGGGAUUCUGCCUAUGGUGCAAGGAAGGUCGGGCUCGGCAGGUUGUGUCUGUUGUUUUUAAGAAAUACCAACAACUGAAAAUUAUCAGAGAAGUUCAAGAAUACUAUCUUCAAUAUUAGAUUUUCACCAUCUACUAUAUCAGAAAAUCAGUAAAUAUACAUUAGGUGGCAUGGCCCAAUAUUAGGCAAUCCCUGUCUCUAAGGACUGCCGACACGUUAUAAUAAAUGAGAAGAUUCACAUAAAGGGCAACACAGAAAGAAAGGUUAUAUGAUUUUAAUGUGUAACAAAUAUUUGACAAUAAAUGAUAAAGGUGUUCACAUGUGAGAGUUCUUUUAGACCUGAAGUAGUAGGUAAGACUUAGUGCUUAUGUCUCUUGUCCUUUCCAUGCUUAUUCAUCAGUCACUAAACUCCAGUCCAUUAUCCUAUUGUUAUUUUCUAAAUAAGGUUUUCAUAGUUCUGUGUGUUUGCACAAUGCAUUCUCACCUAUUCUCUCUUUCUAAACUCAGAUUCGCUCUUUAAUAGUCAUCUUAACAUGACUUUCAAAGUGCUUUAUCAUAUAGCCUCUGCUCAUUUCCCAACUUCAUUCUCAUCAACGUCUCAAUGAUAUGAUAUGCUCCAUGUAUGCUGAACUUACUUAUGUUUCUAAAACAUGCUAAAUUCUCUUUUCUGUAUAAUUGAAAUUACUGUUUCCUCUGUCUACAAUGCGUUCUUUUUCCACCACAUCUCAUCCCGUAUCUCAUUAUUAUUUUGUAGUUCUAACUCAUUCUUCUUCUCUCAGAUUAGAAAUCAUACCGUUUUCAGAAGCUUUCCUGUUUUUCCGGUAUGGAUGAAGAAUUAUUCUUAAGUAUUCUCCUGUAUGUCUGUGUAUUAGUACUUAUAAUAACUAUACUGUAAAUUCUCAGUUCCUUUCUAGCCUGUAAUUUCAAUAUAUAUUCUUUAAGACUGAGAUCUUACCAGGUAAUACAGUGUCUAAUAUAUGGUGUUGACACA
rnacentral:lncRNA from 1 species